rnacentral:rRNA from 1 species
AUGGACGACUUCACCUUCCCUACAACGGCCGCCGCGGCAGAGCAUGCGGAGCCACUGUUCCUACAUCACCACCACCGCCUUCUCCCCUUCCCCCACUUCGCCUCCUCGCCGCUCUGGUUUCCCAGCGACGGCGUCGCCGUUACACCGGUGGUGGCCGUGGUGAGCCGCCGAACCGUGGACGGCAUGGAAGAGCAAGAGCCCACGUCGUCGGACUCGGCCGCCGGACGACGGUCCAAGGGGGAGAGGGGAGGAGAAGCGGAUGAAGGGGUGGUCGUGCGCGCUGCCGGCGCGGACGGCGAGGACAAGAUGGACAUGCUGUGGGAGAACUUCAACGAGGAGCUGCGGCGCGCCGGUUCUUGCUCGAAGACGGCGGCGUGCGGGCUGGACGAGCUGUCGGACACGGAGUCGGAGGCGGGGGAGCGCGGGCGCGGGUGGGCGCCGAUGCUGCGGGCGUCGUCGAGGGCCGGCGGGACGGGGCAGUACUACCGCCGGAGCGGCAGCUGGGUGCUGCUCAUGAGGAUCUUCAAGAGGCUCUUCGUCGUCGAGAAGACGACCAUCUCCGCCGCGCAUCGGCGCCACUAG